rnacentral:miRNA from 1 species
AUUAACUAGGCAUCUUGUUAAAAUGAAGAUUCUGAUUUCAUUGUCCUGGGAUUCUGCAUUUGUAACAAGUUCCUAGUGAUGCUGACGCUGCU